UUGAGGAGGUGGCAGUGAGAUUCCAAGAUUUGUGGGGAGUUGAGGCGUUGAUGGUGAGAAUGGGACUGGAUUUUGAAUUGCUGGUGCGGUAGGGCUGGGGACGAAAGGGUUUGGCAAAUUGGAUUGGCAUUGGCAUAUGCAUGUGCAAUAUCUACCAUUUGAACCUCGCCCCAUCUGAACCCAUCUUACCUCAUAUGGCCACCCAGAACAAUAAGCAGAACAGCCACAAUCUGCAUUUGUGGCUUCUGAACUACCACUAACUUGUGCUACUUGUGACACAUGAAUUUUAAAGGGAAAGUAUCUCUUCUUCCUUUGAUUAUGUAAUGGGUGGGA
rnacentral:misc_RNA from 1 species